rnacentral:rRNA from 1 species
CACGUAGGGGGCAAGCGUUGUCCGGAUUUAUUGGGCGUAAAGAGCUCGUAGGCGGCUCAGUUAGUCGGGUGUGAAACCCCUGGGCUCAACCCGGGGACGCCACCCGAUACUGCUGUGGCUAGAGUCCGGUAGGGGAGCGUGGAAUUCCUGGUGUAGCGGUGAAAUGCGCAGAUAUCAGGAGGAACACCAGCGGCGAAGGCGGUGCUCUGGGCCGGAACUGACGCUGAGGAGCGAAAGCGUGGGGAGCAAACAGG